GACGAACGCCGGCGGCGUGCUUAACAUAUGCAAGUCGAACGGAAAGGCCCUGCUUUUGUGGGGUGCUCGAGUGGCGAACGGGUGAGUAACACGUGAGUAACCUGCCCUUGACUUUGGGAUAACUUCAGGAAACUGGGGCUAAUACCGGAUAGGAGCUCCUGCUGCAUGGUGGGGGUUGGAAAGUUUCGGCGGUUGGGGAUGGACUCGCGGCUUAUCAGCUUGUUGGUGGGGUAGUGGCUUACCAAGGCUUUGACGGGUAGCCGGCCUGAGAGGGUGACCGGCCACAUUGGGACUGAGAUACGGCCGAGACUCCUACGGGAGGCAGCAGUGGGGAAUAGUGCACAAUGGGCGGAAGCCUGAUGCAGCAACGCCGCGUGCGGGAUGACGGCCUUCGUGUUGUAAACCGCUUUCGCCUGUGACGAAGCGUGAGUGACGGUAAUGGGUAAAGAAACACCGGCUAACUACGUG
rnacentral:rRNA from 1 species